UUUAUCUGGAUAGUGAGCAGGUGUCGGGUUUGGGAGAAAAGUCUUAAGAAGGAGGGAGCAUAGACUGGGCCUUGGAGCCAAAUACCUGGCCCUCCAUUGUUCUUUGUCAAGCAGUGUGCGUGGGACACACGGGCGAAUACGGUUACGGAAUUCCUCCGUCCAGAAAAACAGAGGAGCUGGAUCUCCGGGCACUUCUCACCGUUCUUCAUGAAUAACCCCUUUCUGUGGAUGGUAGGGGCGGCAAAUGAUUCCAGGGGUGUCCAAAUGAGUCACUGACCAGGCAGAAACUCGUUUCAGGAUCCAGUGUCACUGGGGGGUGGGUGGGGGGAGGAGGCAUGCAGGGCAGGAAGUGAAGGGGCAGAGAGAGCUGCAGUGGUGAGAGCAUGACCAUCUCCUCCUGCAAUUUCUUCUCUAGACCUUUCACUCCUUCAGUAAGAACGUGGAAAACAUCUGCUGGGUCCCCAGGGUUCGGUGGCUCGGCUGUGACCGGGGGGGGGGGGGGGGCUUCGGGGUACGACGUCCCUGCCCUUAAGAAACUUACUCUCUAUGGAGAAUGCAAAGCGCAUUUGAAGUACUUGGGCAGUAAUUACAAGACAGAUCUUUCAUUAUUGCCAUGGAAAACUCUUACUGUUUCGAAUGCCCACCCCAAUGCCUGGCAGAUAGUGAGUGUUUAAUGGAAAGUUGGAUGAAUGAUCUUCGGUCAUCCCGUGGGAGCUGGCAAAUGUAGAAAUGGGAGGCCCGCUCUAGAAAGCAGGAGACUUGGUUUUGCAAUGAGCUGUUGGAUGAGAUUGGUCAAACUUUUUAAAGCUUCUCGGCCUCCAUUUUCUCAUCCGUCACAUGGACAGAUGGGAUUAGGUGAAUGCCAAGUUGCUUGGACUUGGAUGCUUUUGUUGAGGUCUGGAAGUCGUCGUACCCCGAGAAGCCUGAGGAGAGUCACCAGCGAAAAAAAAUACUACUUUUAAAAAACUGCAUGGAAAGACAUUAAAUGAGAAUCUCCUUUGAAAUGAAAGCUCAGAUAGAAGAGCGGUUCUAUGGUAACCUCCAGCAGCUCAAUACGACUGCACCUCAAGUGGC